GACAGAGGGUGCAAACGUUGUUCGGAAUUACUGGGCGUAAAGCGCGUGUAGGCUGUUCUGCAAGUCGGGUGUGAAAGCCCCGGGCUCAACCUGGGAAGUGCACUCGAAACUGCAGAACUCGAGUCCUGGAGAGGAAGGCGGAAUUCUCGGUGUAGAGGUGAAAUUCGUAGAUAUCGAGAGGAACACCGGUGGCGAAGGCGGCCUUCUGGACAGUGACUGACGCUGAGACGCGAAAGCGUGGGGAGCAAACGGG
rnacentral:rRNA from 1 species